rnacentral:rRNA from 1 species
GAGGAAUAUUGGUCAAUGGACGCAAGUCUGAACCAGCCAUGCCGCGUGCAGGAUGAAGGUGCUAUGCAUUGUAAACUGCUUUUGUACGAGGGUAAAUGCAGGUACGUGUACCUGUUUGAAAGUAUCGUACGAAUAAGGGUCGGCUAACUCCGUGCCAGCAGCCGCGGUAAUACGGAGGACCCGAGCGUUAUCCGGAUUUAUUGGGUUUAAAGGGUGCGUAGGCGGAUUAGUAAGUUAGAGGUGAAAGCUCGAUGCUCAACAUCGAAAUUGCCUCUGAUACUGUUAGUCUAGAGUAUAGUUGCGGAAGGCGGAAUGUGUGGUGUAGCGGUGAAAUGCUUAGAUAUCACACAGAACACCGAUUGCGAAGGCAGCUUUCCAAGCUAUUACUGACGCUGAUGCACGAAAGCGUGGGGAGCGAAC